UGCACUUUUAUUUUAAACUGGACUAUAGCGCCACCUGGUGUCCGAGUGAGACUCCUCCUCGAGGACUGUUCAGCCCUGCGCAGGGACUGGCUCUCCCGCAGCCAUUUUCUGUCCAACCAAACGGCCGAACUGAGACGAGAACCAACCAGGGCUUCAUCGCAGAUGGACGGAGACAGUUCAACCACAGAUGCCUCCCAACUUGGCAUAACAGGAGAAUAUAUGGCUGGUAGUCACUUUGUUCUCCAAGCUCAGGAUGAUGAAGGUGAUGAGGGACUCAACGACCACGAGGAUGGCAAUGGAAGCAAAGAUAACCUACGGGAGCAAGACAUCUAUCUCCCAAUCGCCAACGUUGCCCGAAUCAUGAAGACUGCAAUACCACAAACUGGAAAAAUAGCAAAGGACGCCAAGGAGUGUGUGCAGGAGUGUGUGAGCGAGUUCAUCAGCUUCAUCACUUCAGAAGCCAGCGAGAGGUGCCAUCAGGAGAAACGCAAGACGAUAAAUGGCGAAGACAUCCUGUUCGCAAUGUCCACGCUGGGUUUCGACAUGUAUGUGGAGCCUCUGAAGCUCUACCUGCAGAAGUUCAGAGAGGCCAUGAAAGGAGAGAAAGGCAUAAGCGCAGUAACUGUAAGCGAAGGCAUGGGAGAGGAGCUGACCGAUGAGUCUUUCAAAUCUGAAAGCGGCUCCUUUCCGAGAGCCUACUCUUCUCUGAUUGGUCAGAUGGCCCAGUCUGUUGUGAUUGGUCUACAGGCGUGCAAGACUGCAAGUGUAACAUCAAGCCAAAUCCACUACCUGCAGGGAUCAUAACAGCUGAUGGACAGCAACAAAAUGUGAUGGUGUACACCACCUCAUAUCAGCAGAUCCCGGGCGUGCAGCAGCUCCAGUUCUCCUGAAGAUGUGCUGUAAUGUCACAUGCAGAAAUCAACACCUAAUCUUCACGAAUCAAACCUCCACACUUCCACAUACAAGUGAAGGUCCUGAACGGUGGGGUCUGUGUGAGAGGUCUUCAGCGGACCCUCUUCUUGUGCUCUCACAGGUCACAGAGCUGGACUUCUAUGUUUGUUUAGCUGGUUUUCAUGUGUGCUCCUUGUGUGUUUGUGCACACGCAUUAUGAUUUUAAGUGACUAGUCUGUUGGGUGUUACUUUUGUUUGUUUUACACAUAUGGGAUUUUAAAGGAUUAGGUUAAAGGGUCCUGAGGGGUUUCAAAAAUAACAACCUUCUAUUAAAGCAAUAAUACAAAUCAAAUGUGAAUCUUCCUGCGAUAUAGUGGAAUAAGUGAUUUGCUCCUUUUUUUGUAUAGAUGAAAACCAUUUUGCAUGUACAUGUAUUUCGGUUUGAUAAGAUGUUAACACUUAAAAUUAAAUUUUGUAAAUAUUUUUUUUUUCUCAAUGUUUUCAUGGAUUUGUAAUUAUGCAGUUCACUCAACAAUCUGCAUUGUCAAUCAAAGUCCAAAAAUAAAUCAAAAUUCUAAUCUAAGUUCUUCAUUGGGGCCCAUUUUAAGUCAGUGACUUUCUUUGGAUGAUUUUACAUUAAUUUCUUGCUAACCACAGUUCAUUUUGUUUUUAUGUGCUUAUUAAGGUUCAGUUACACCUUGAAUGUGGAUUUUAAAAUGGUUGUGUAUUUAAAGCACACAAUCCGCAAAUCCAUGACAUAAGGACAACAACUACUGUAAGAACACAUAAAAAUAUGACAUUUUAAAAGUAGACCUAAACUAUUUCAAUUUUUCAUUUAUAAAAAGUAUCUAUUUGUCCCAGAGUUGUCAUCAUUUCUCUAAUAUGUUUAUUUUUAUGUUUCUCCCACAGCAUAAAGGUGUUUAUGGUCAGUGGUAAAAUGCAUAUCUAAACGCUGAAAGAAAAUUUCAGAUUUAGUACAAAGGAUAUUUAAUUGUUGAUAUUAUAGCAAAUACGACAUUCCCACAAGUUGAUAUGUCAUGGCCACGACAAAACUAAGUGAACUGAACAUAUCACCUCCCAAUCACCAUCAAACUAAAAUAACCAAAAACCUUUUAAUCCCAUUUUUCAAGGAAGCUUAUAAAACGGUUAGUUCCUGUCCUUGAUUCUUAUUGGUCAAUAGCUGUGUUUUAUUCACGAUAAAACACGGCUAUGACCGCUUCACCCAACGGUUCUGUAUAUCACUACACAACACCCUUAGCAACCACUCUUAGCAAUAUAAACUGUUAGUUCUUAAUUGAUAUUGUUCAUUGAAGCUUACUGUAUUGUGAGAAAGAGAUCGAGUAAGCGAGUUUAUUACCUGCAUUCAGAUUUAGCAUUUUCCUUCAGGUCAGUCCUAUGUUCAUAAUAAAAAAUCUGUUUAAAAGUC